GUACAGGCAUUGACAGGAACAAGUAAACGACAGUGAUGUCUUUCAGAAAGCCGGUGGCUGCUGUGAACCGGUAGACAGCUUGCGUUGAAUGGAUCCUUGAGCUGACGGCUGAACGACUUGAAGGAAGACCUGUGUGAUGCGGGUGUGCCAUUCGGAGUCCAACGCUGGUCCGGGCACUUCCCGUUACAGAAGAUAAAGGCUUGAUGACGUACGCGACCUAUGGGUCGGUUAUCAGCGAAAUAGGGUGGCACCACGGUUAUCCGUCCCUGAC
rnacentral:ncRNA from 1 species